rnacentral:rRNA from 1 species
AGAGUUUGAUCCUGGCUCAGAUUGAACGCUGGCGGUAUGCUUUACACAUGCAAGUCGAACGGCAGCACGGGGCAACCUGGUGGCGAGUGGCGAACGGGUGAGUAACAUAUCGGAACAUAUCCGGAAGUGGGGGAUAACGUAGCGAAAGUUACGCUAAUACCGCAUAUGCCCUGAGGGGGAAAGGGGGGGAUCGCAAGACCUCUCGCUUUCGGAGUGGCCGAUAUCGGAUUAGCUAGAUGGUGAGGUAAAGGCUCACCAUGGCGACGAUCCGUAGCGGGUCUGAGAGGACGACCCGCCACACUGGAACUGAGACACGGUCCAGACUCCUACGGGAGGCAGCAGUGGGGAAUUUUGGACAAUGGGCGCAAGCCUGAUCCAGCCAUACCGCGUGAGUGAAGAAGGCCUUCGGGUUGUAAAGCUCUUUCAGCCGGAAAGAAAUCGCACUUUUUAAUACGGAGUGUGGAUGACGGUACCGGAAGAAGAAGCACCGGCUAACUACGUGCCAGCCGCCGCGGU